GAUUAUCCCAUUAAGUUUGACUCCGGGCAUCCGAUUCGCGGAGGGCAGGCAUGGAGGGCGAGGGGCGGCAGUCAUCCUGAGGGCAGUGCCGCGGAUGGACGUGUGUGUGUGCAGCCCUCGCCGCGCCCCCUUUAUAUAUGUAUAUUUAUACACACACACACACACACACACACACAGGAUGACAGGGUGGUAGACCAUAACAGAAGGAAAAUCACACUCACAAUAUACACAACACGUCAUGAACCGGGGAAAAAAAAGUUAAGGCACACACACACACACACACACACACACACUUCCCCUCAUCUCCGUAAUGCUUCACGGAUUAUUCAUUUCGUCAUCUGCAGUCGCCGCUCAGGGAACAGGGACAUCGUGAUGCUGAAUGAAAGCAGUGCCUCGUGUUUGCUGUCUUCACUCCCCCAUCACCUCGAGAGCCAGCAGGGGUCCGCAGUGCUUGAGUCUAGAACCAAGUGGUGAGCUGGUUCCAGACGGGGGUGUUAGAGGUAAUCAUUGAAGAGUGAAGGAAGGAAGGAAGGAAGACAGGCCUGCAAUUCUUACACGUUACUGCACUGAAGAAGAAUUGAAGAUGACAAAGAAAGAAAUCGAUGGCAAACUAGACCACAAAAAAGAAGGAAUUUGAUAAGUCGAAUGAAGAGAAAGUUGAAAAGAAAAAUUUAGAGUUAAAGUAGAAAGUAGAAACAAGAAGAUGAAGAGAUAGUAUAAGAUAUUUAAGAAGUAAAAAAAAAAAAAAAAAUAGAGGAAAAUAAAGAGAAAGGAAUGAAGGAUAAGACGACAGCAAUGCACCUCCGCUUCCUCGCCGCCCUCGUCCUCUUCCUCCUCCCACCACGCCUGACCUGAUCCUAAGUACUAGUGCCGCAGGAGAGUUGCCAAGGACUCCUGCUGCUCAAGUGCUUAUCAUUGGGGGGCACCACCUGCAGGAGAGAGAGAGAGAGAGAGAGAGAGAGAGAGAGAGAGACUUGACUGCUGCAUCGCGUCGUCUUAGCUUGUCCCGCUCGCCACCAGAUGCCGCCACAAGUUUGGUCAGGGUAUAGGAGUUUUUUUUGGUCCGACGGUUUGCUGGCCUGCUCAAGAAUGUACAAGAAAAGCGGAAAGGUGUUGAGUGUGUAAUGAUUAUGUGUUGUUAUCAUGACGUUUGUAUGUGGCCCUAUUGUAUUUAUAAAGUGAGAUUGUUGUUUUGACGGAAUACAUUGAUUGGCAAAUGCACAAACAUUUUUCAUAGUUAAGUCGAAACGAAUGUUGUAUGGGAAAAAAAAAUAGCCAAUUUGCAUUUGUGUAUAUUUAUUGUGCGCACAGUUCAUUCUAUAAUUACAUCACAAAUGUUCAUGUAUACAAUCGGAUGGUAGCAUGAAACACUUACUUCCGGACGUCGGUUUAUAAUCUGAUACCAGUGUUCAACAUUUGUAUCGGAAGUUGUUAUGAAAAGAUCUCUACGUUAUUAAUUCAUGUAUUCUUUCUUCUGUUUGUUAUGAAGGUUGCACCAGAUUCCGGCAAUCAACGUGGGCAGAGUGAGCUUACCUGUUACCGUGGUGGCCUUGCUGGUGUUUCGUUCUCUGCCGCUCGUAAUGGUCUCACUUCAGCUCCACUUCAAAUGCUGAACAAGGAACGACUCUCUUGAUGGGACGACAGAGGCUGACGUACAGGGAAAGGCGAAGAACCUAAGCAAGAGAAUUUGAAAGUUUAAGUGAUGUGACAAAAAAAAAAAAAAAAAAAAAAAACACACGAAGAUUUUGUAAGGCUGGUUAGGUUAACGGUAACGGGUGGUAAUGGUGGGUGGGGAAAACAAAGCAUUCCAUUACAGAAUUUCCUGGUUUAUUUCCGCUCCCUCUGUACUUAGUUAUAGGCAGGUCAGCACUCCGUAUAACAGGGUUUACUGAUCUAAUGCUCCCUUCUUAUGAUUAUAAACACUGUGCUUGCUGUGGUGCUGAAUAAGACUGUGUGUUGAUAUGCUGUGCUAUGUUCGUUCCUUAGAUUAAACAAAUGAAAAAUAAAUCUCACUGUCGUCAAAAACAGUUGGAAGGAAAAGCAAAAGAUUGAGUAGUAUAUGUUCACACCUACGUACUCAGACCAAUCAUUGUUCCCGAAGCAUUACAGUACGCUUCCCUCCCAUCCUUACACCAUAUACUGCUACACAUCUCCAUGGAACAUUCUAACAAUAUUGCUACAAAACUAGAACCACAAUUAGGCCAUACAACUUUAACGACGCAGUUUCCGGAGCACUUGGGUGGGUUCACUUAUUCGGCGCCAGACGCCUCGAGACUGUGGAACGUAAGGUGAUCGGCACGGACAUGACGGUAGUCCUUUGAGAUGAAGGUAAGUAUGCAGUGUGUCAGGCUCCCUUCAUGCUGACGAAGAAGAAUGAAAAUGAAAAAAAUGAAAAAAUAAGAAUAGACAAAUAAAUCUCAUUGUUUAGAAAUCGUUGGGGUUUGCUUCACGAGACUUCGGAGCACUUGAUAUCCAGUGUCAGUGUUCCUCCGCGGCAGUCUUGCUGUGGGUGUGUUCCGGGUGGAAUGUGUCUGCUUCUGUGUGCUGUGGUGAUGGGUACUGUGCACGGUAAGGGGAUGCAGCUCUUAAGAAUGAUGAAACUAAACCUUUAUAAUAAGUUUGCUGUAGAUAACGAACGAAAAACAUUAUUAUAAUAUAGUUAUGUGUGCCUUAUGUAAGGAUCCAGUAACAAUGCAGCUAGCCGACCCUUGUACAGUAUCCGAGUCCGUAAAACUUGUCCAAUCUGGAGCCACCCGUGCGGCAGUCAUGCGUCAGUCAGUAUUGGAUGGCUGCCUGGUGUGUGUCGCGAGGACUGAGACGCGUACCUGUGCAGCUUGAAUUCCACUCUACAGACCUCGCUGCCACUCAAGUGAAGAGAGCAGGGGCAGCAGGACGAGGCCAGCACCGAGACUAAACAGCAGUGCACUCUAUCGAUCAGGCCAGACCCGCCCAGCACUUGAGGCGCAAGGGAGGAGGAGGAGGAGGAGGAGGAGUAGGAGCAGUGAGAGGGUAGCAGGAGCUCUCAGCCAGUCCCUACAAGGCCGACCAACACAGCAGCAGCAGCAGCAUCAACAGCAGCAGCAGCAGAGGGGUGGAGGAACCGCCCGUCCGUGUCCCAGGUAAACAAACAGUGUCAAAAUACCACACAGAGAUCAACAACCUCAACCAAUCAACUCCCAACUCAUUUCUC